GAGUUUGAUCAUGGCUCAGGAUGAACGCCGGCGGUGUGCCUAAUACAUGCAAGUCGUACGCACUGGCCCAACUGAUUGAUGGUGCUUGCACCUGAUCGACGAUGGAUCACCAGUGAGUGGCGGACGGGUGAGUAACACGUAGGUAACCUGCCCUGUACAGGGGGAUAACAAUCAGAAAUGACUGCUAAUACCGCAUAAGACCACAGCACCGCAUGGUGCAGGGGUAAAAACUCCGGUGGUACAGGAUGGACCCGCGUCUGAUUAGCUGGUUGGUGAGGUAACGGCUCACCAAGGCGACGAUCAGUAGCCGGCUUGAGAGAGUGAACGGCCACAUUGGGACUGAGACACGGCCCAAACUCCUACGGGAGGCAGCAGUGGGGAAUAUUGCACAAUGGGGAAACCCUGAUGCAGCAACGCCGCGUGAGUGAAGAAGUAUUUCGGUAUGUAAAGCUCUAUCAGCAGGGAAGAAAGUGACGGUACCUGACUAAGAAGCCC
rnacentral:rRNA from 1 species